CUUUCCCUCUGUCGGCAGGCCUAACACAUGCAAGUCGAACGGUAACAGGAAGAAGCUUGCUUCUUUGCUGACGAGUGGCGGACGGGUGAGUAAUGUCUGGGAAACUGCCUGAUGGAGGGGGAUAACUACUGGAAACGGUAGCUAAUACCGCAUAACGUCGCAAGACCAAAGAGGGGGACCUUCGGGCCUCUUGCCAUCGGAUGUGCCCAGAUGGGAUUAGCUAGUAGGUGGGGUAACGGCUCACCUAGGCGACGAUCCCUAGCUGGUCUGAGAGGAUGACCAGCCACACUGGAACUGAGACACGGUCCAGACUCCUACGGGAGGCAGCAGUGGGGAAUAUUGCACAAUGGGCGCAAGCCUGAUGCAGCCAUGCCGCGUGUAUGAAGAAGGCCUUCGGGUUGUAAAGUACUUUCAGCGGGGAGGAAGGGAGUAAAGUUAAUACCUUUGCUCAUUGACGUUACCCGCAGAAGAAGCACCGGCUAACUCCGUG
rnacentral:rRNA from 1 species